AGCCCAUCUUGCGCAUGUACACGAAGUCUGGUGGAGCAACGCCGCGUGAGUGAAGAAGGGUUUCGGCUCGUAAAACUCUGUUGUUAAAGAAGAAUAUAUCUGAGAGUAACUGUUCAGGUAUUGACGGUAUUUAACCAGAAAGCCACGGCUAACUACGUGCCAGCAGCCGCGGUAAUACA
rnacentral:rRNA from 1 species